rnacentral:rRNA from 1 species
UACGUAGGUGGCAAGCGUUGUCCGGAUUUACUGGGCGUAAAGAGCGCGCAGGCGGUCGUUCAAGUCGCGUGUGAAAGCCCCCGGCUCAACUGGGGAGGGUCACGCGAUACUGAUCGACUCGAAGGCAGGAGAGGGUAGUGGAAUUCCCGGUGUAGUGGUGAAAUGCGUAGAUAUCAUCUGGAAUACCGGAGGCGAAGGCGGCUCACUGGGGGUUUUCUGACGCUGAGGAACGAAAGCCAGGGUAGCGAACGGG